GGUUAGACGAAGUUCGUUGUGUAGGAAAUGAAAAUAAUAUUUCGAGUUGUUCACAUAGUGGAUGGGGAUCACAUAAUUGUACACAUGAUGAAGAUGCUGGUAUACAAUGUUCAGUUAUCAACUCUGUUAGACUUCGGGGACCAGAAAGUUCUAUUGGCAAAGGUCGUGUAGAAGUAUUUUACAAUGGAGAAUGGGGAACAAUUUGUGAUGAUGGCUGGGAUAUAAACGAUGCUAAAGUUGUGUGUCGACAACUUGGUUAUGACUAUUAUUUCAGGGCUUUACUAGGAGGUAAUGUUCCACAUGGUAGUGGAAGAAUAUGGUUAGACGACGUCCAAUGUGUAGGAAAUGAAAGCAAUAUUUCGAGUUGUUCACAUAGAGAAUGGGGAUCACAUAAUUGUAGACAUAAUAAAGAUGCUGGUGUACAAUGUUCAGUUAUCAACUCUGUUAGACUUCAGGGACCAGAAAGUUCUAUUGGCAAGGUCGUGUAGAGUAUUUUACAAU